GUCCUACGGGGGGCAGCAGUGAGGAAUAUUGGUCAAUGGUCGGGAGACUGAACCAGCCAAGCCGCGUGAGGGAUGAAGGUACAGAGUAUCGUAAACCUCUUUUGUCAGGGAACAAAGGCGGGGACGUGUCCCCGGAUGAGUGUACCUGAAGAAAAAGCAUCGGCUAACUCCGUGCCAGCAGCCGCGGUAAUACGGAGGAUUCAAGCGUUAUCCGGAUUUAUUGGGUUUAAAGGGUGCGUAGGCGGUCGGAUAAGUUAGAGGUGAAAUCCCGAGGCUCAACUUCGGAAUUGCCUCUGAUACUGUUU
rnacentral:rRNA from 1 species